rnacentral:pre_miRNA from 1 species
GAGAGGGGCAGGACUUGGCUCGCUCCGUGAACAGUUCGGUCAGUGUGAGUGUUCACAGUGGCUAAGUUCCGCUCCUCAC